GGCCUCCUGGUCCUUGUCAGAGGCUGUUAUUGCACUGAUUGUAGAGAAAGAGAUGGGAAAGUAAACCUACCCUGUAUGCACCUCACCCCAGAUCCUGUGCCUAUAUUCUGAAUGGGAAAAACAUGG
ensembl:snoRNA